rnacentral:rRNA from 1 species
GUAUAGCAAUAGCUGAUUGCACCAACAAAUGGUUGAUGCAAUAUUGACUCUGUCAAAUAAAAUUCUAGGUAGAAUUAUGAUAAUGACAUUGUCUGCCUAUAUGUCUUGACCAAAUUACGUGCCAGCAGUCGCGGUAAUACGUAGAAGACUAGUGUUAUUCAUCUUUAAUAGGUUUAAAGGGUACCUAGACGGUAAAUCAAGCCUUCACAGGGACUAAUUUACUAGAGUUACUUACGAGGGGGUAUUAAAGUACUGCAGGUGUAGAGAUGAAAUUCUGUCAUACCUCUUUUCAAAAGAAAAAUUAUGGCACAGGUAUAGGUGAAAGCAUCCCCUUAUGUGAUAACUGACGUUGAAGGACGAAGGCUUUGUGUCGCGAACAGGAUUAGAUACCCCAGUAGUCAAAGCAGAAAAUGAUGAAUGUCAUAGAUUAGAUAUAUAGUUUAUUCUAUAAAUGAAAAUGUAAGCAUUCCACCUCAAGAGUAAUUUGGCAACAUUGGAACUGAAAUCAUUAGACCGUUUCUGAAACCAGUAGUGAAGUAUGUUGUUUAAUUUGAUGAUCCGCAAAAAACCUUACCACAAUUUGAAUAUUUGUAUCUAUCUUUUUUUUCGUAAAAAAAUAAAAAGGUAAUAUAUUUACAAGCGUUGCACGGCUGUCUUCAGUUAAUGUCGCGAGACUUUGGUUAGUUCCAUUUAAUUAACGUAAACCCUUACUUUAUUUUUAUAUGAAGUAGUUCCCCGCUAUAUUGGAUAUGAUAACAGG